CGGGGGCAGGAGGUUCGACUCGAGCGCAGCGAGAGAACGUUGCGUCAGCAACGGCCCGCAGGGCGAGCUACGCAGUGGCGAGUCAUCCUCUAUCACCGGCAG
rnacentral:sRNA from 1 species